rnacentral:rRNA from 1 species
CCUACGGGAGGCAGCAGUGGGGAAUAUUGGACAAUGGGGGCAACCCUGAUCCAGCCAUGCCGCGUGUGUGAAGAAGGCCCUCGGGUUGUAAAGCACUUUCAGUGAGGAAGAACGCCUGGUGGUUAAUACCCAUCAGGAAAGACAUCACUCACAGAAGAAGCACCGGCUAACUCCGUGCCAGCAGCCGCGGUAAUACGGAGGGUGCGAGCGUUAAUCGGAAUUACUGGGCGUAAAGCGCGCGUAGGUGGCUUGAUAAGCCGGUUGUGAAAGCCCCGGGCUCAACCUGGGAACGGCAUCCGGAACUGUCAAGCUAGAGUGCAGGAGAGGAAGGUAGAAUUCCCGGUGUAGCGGUGAAAUGCGUAGAGAUCGGGAGGAAUACCAGUGACGAAGGCGGCCUUCUGGACUGACACUGACACUGAGGUGCGAAAGCGUGGGUAGCAAACAGGAUUAGAUACCCCAGUAGUC